rnacentral:rRNA from 1 species
UACAGAGGGGGCAAGCGUUAUUCGGAAUUAUUGGGCGUAAAGGGCGCGUAGGCGGGCUGGUAAGUCCGGGGUGAAAUCCUGCAGCUCAACUGCAGAAGUGCCUUGGAUACUGCCAGUCUCGAGGGAGGUAGGGGCAUGUGGAACUUCCGGUGGAGCGGUGAAAUGCGUAGAUAUCGGAAGGAACGCCGGUGGCGAAAGCGACGUGCUGGACCUCUACUGACGCUGAGGCGCGAAAGCCAGGGGAGCAAACGGG